GCUGGGGAGCCUGAUGAAGAUGAGGAGCAACCAGUAAAAAAAAAGGAUCUAAUGUGAUUUUGCCUGCGGCACCUUGGUUUCCAUCUCUUUCAACACCACAACUGCAGCCACAUCAGUCAGUUUCUG